GAUGAAGAACGUAGCGAAAUGCGAUAAGUAGUGUGAAUUGCAGAAUUCAGUGAAUCAUCGAAUCUUUGAACGCACAUUGCGCCCUUUGGUAUUCCUUAGGGCAUGCCUGUUCGAGCGUCAUCUAAACCUUCAAGCCCUGCUUGGUGUUGGGUGCCUGUCCCGCCACUGCGCGUGGACUCACCUCAAAUCCAUUGGCGGCCCCCGCGUCGGCCACGAGCGCAGCAGAAACGCGAACUCGUGAGCCCGUCCGGGCGGCUCCCAGAAGCUAACCCCCAAUUUUUGACCUCGGAUCAGGUAGGGAUACCCGCUGAACUUAAGCAUAUCAAUAAGCGGAGGA
rnacentral:misc_RNA from 1 species